GACGAACGCUGGCGGCGUGCUUAACACAUGCAAGUGGAGCGACGAACCGGGCUUCGGCCCGGGGCAAAGCCGCGAACGGGUGAGUAACACGUGGGUAACCUGCCCCAAAGACCGGGACAACCCGAGGAAACUCGGGCUAAUACCGGAUGUGUUCACUGUCCACAAGGACAGUGAGGAAAGGAAGCUUCGGCCUCCGCUUUGGGAUGGGCCCGCGGCCCAUUAGCUUGUUGGUGAGGUAACGGCUCACCAAGGCUGCGAUGGGUAGCUGGUCUGAGAGGACGAUCAGCCACACUGGGACUGAGACACGGCCCAGACGCCUACGGGAGGCAGCAGUGGGGAAUCUUGCGCAAUGCGCGACAGCGUGACGCAGCAACGCCGCGUGGGGGAAGAAGGCCUUCGGGUUGUAAACCUCUUUCAGGAGGGGCGAAGCUCCGGCAGCGAAUAGCUGUCCGGAGUGACGGUACCUCCACAAGAAGCCCCGGCUAACUACGUGCCAGCCGCCGCGGUAA
rnacentral:rRNA from 1 species